rnacentral:lncRNA from 10 species
GACUCAGGCAUAGGUGGUUCUCCAGCUUGUUCCUGUGUGGGAGGCACCUUCCUCCAGCUGCCACUUAGAAGUGUAAACAGGAGCCAGUAACAGGAGAAACUGGUGUCUGGAAUCUGAGCGAAAGUGGUCCGAAAGUCAAGGACUAGCCCGGCCAAGGAGAGACCACAGAGGCUUGGGACCAUGUACCUGCAUACUAAGGUUUCUGAGGCCCUACUAUGUGUACAGCACAGUGGUGGACUCUUGAGGGACACGAAGAUGACUAAGACACAGUCGCAGCCUUUCAGCAGCUUCUAAUCCAUUAGGGGAUAUGAGGCAAGUGUACCGCGACCACCACACCAGGACUCAGGUGCAGAUUGCACACCUGAAGGGAAGUGAGGUUGGAGCUGCAAGAGGUGUCACUGUCGGUGAGCAAAGCUAGAAGAGUUUGCCACUUGACAGAAAGAGAAUUUUAGAUAAAUUACAAUGAAAGCUAAAAGAACACAGAUUCAAGUCUGAGAUACUAGCUUCUGUGAUCUAGUAAGAAUAUACCUAUUAGUCUGAUUAUUUUUAAUAAUCCAGUGUGUUUUGGAUGACAACAAAGGCAGGCACUGUUACAACCCAAGCAAGUGCUUGUGAAGAACAACGUGUGUGUUGCUGCCAGGUUAGGCCAGUGCUCACAACCAAAAGGGUGACGUGACAUAACAUGAAGUAUAUAAUGAAGCAUACAUUUGCUGUACAUUUCUAGCAAAUUACCAUGUAUUUCCACGUGACAUUCACAAGCCUGGAUCUAAUAAUUUCUUCCGCUAAGGGUAGCAAUGAUGUAGUGAAGAGACUUUGAAUUAGAAGCAGAUGAUCAAUGUUCAAGUUAACCUUAAUGAAUGGUGGUACACAUAGCAUUGGUGUCACCAGAUCCACACAUCUUAACCUAACAUAAGUGACCCACUCUUUGAUACAGUCAGAUAAGUGAGGGGGAAAAAGAAAAUCCUUACCUAAGUGUCAAACAUCAGUUAAUCAAAUCCUAGAACUACUGUGUACAAAGCACAGAAUAUGAGCAAUUGCCUAGUUUGGCAACAAAAUAUAAAAUAAUGCUGAUAAAAUACCCAACUCAUAAUCCUACUGUGAAUGCUAAAUUAAAUUACAUUGAUGACACAUAGAAAGAUACUUACAUAGGCCUAGGACACGAUAAGUACUCAAAAACACUUUUUCCCCCAAACAAAAUAUUCUGAUGAAGUAGCCAAUAUUAGAGUCGUUAGAUUUCAGAAGAUUUUGUUGUCAAUAUUUGUGUAAUACCAUGAGAGCAUUAAAGGUUGAGAGGCCAUUCCAGUUGAAGACUCAAAUGUUUAAUUUUUUUUUUUUUCUGAGAUGGAGACUCACACCUUUGCCCAGGCUGGAGUGCAGUGGCGGGAUCUCAGCUCACUUCAAGCUUCACCUCCCG